rnacentral:rRNA from 1 species
AGCGAACGCUGGCGGCAGGCCUAACACAUGCAAGUCGAACGGAUCCUUCGGGAUUAGUGGCGGACGGGUGAGUAACACAUGGGAACGUGCCCUUUGGUUCGGAACAACUCAGGGAAACUUGAGCUAAUACCGGAUGUGCCCUUCGGGGGAAAGAUUUAUCGCCAUUGGAGCGGCCCGCGUCUGAUUAGCUAGUUGGUGAGGUAAAGGCUCACCAAGGCGACGAUCAGUAGCUGGUCUGAGAGGAUGAUCAGCCACAUUGGGACUGAGACACGGCCCAAACUCCUACGGGAGGCAGCAGUGGGGAAUCUUGCGCAAUGGGCGAAAGCCUGACGCAGCCAUGCCGCGUGAAUGAUGAAGGUCCUAGGAUUGUAAAAUUCUUUCACCGGGGACGAUAAUGACGGUACCCGGAGAAGAAGCCCCGGCUAACUUCGUGCCAGCAGCCGCCGUAA